rnacentral:rRNA from 1 species
UACGGGGGGGGCAAGCGUUGUUCGGAAUUACUGGGCGUAAAGGGCUCGUAGGUGGCCAACUAAGUCAGACGUGAAAUCCCUCGGCUUAACCGGGGAACUGCGUCUGAUACUGGAUGGCUUGAGUGUGGGAGAGGGAUGCGGAAUUCCAGGUGUAGCGGUGGAAUGCGCAGAUAUCAGGAGGAACACCAAUAGCGAAGGCAGCUCGCUGGGACGUUACUGACACUGAGGCGCGAAAGCGUGGGGAGCGAACAGG